rnacentral:tRNA from 1 species
AGGGUGUUAACUUAAGUUUAAAGUGCCAAAUUUUUAAUUUGGAAAUGUUGUUUCACACCCUA